UAGGGAAUCUUCGGCAAUGGACGAAAGUCUGACCGAGCAACGCCGCGUGAGUGAAGAAGGUUUUCGGAUCGUAAAACUCUGUUGUUAGAGAAGAACAAGGACGUUAGUAACUGAACGUCCCCUGACGGUAUCUAACCAGAAAGCCACGGCUAACUACGUGCCAGCAGCCGCGGUAAUACGUAGGUGGCAAGCGUUGUCCGGAUUUAUUGGGCGUAAAGCGAGCGCAGGCGGUUUCUUAAGUCUGAUGUGAAAGCCCCCGGCUCAACCGGGGAGGGUCAUUGGAAACUGGGAGACUUGAGUGCAGAAGGGGAGAGUGGAAUUCCAUGUGUAGCGGUGAAAUGCGUAGAUAUAUGGAGGAACACCAGUGGCGAAGGCGGCUCUCUGGUCUGUAACUGGCGCUGAGGCUCGAAAGCGUGGGGAGCAAACAAG
rnacentral:rRNA from 1 species